rnacentral:rRNA from 1 species
GAUGAACGCUGGCGGCGUGCCUAAUACAUGCAAGUCGAGCGAACAGACGAGGAGCUUGCUCCUCUGACGUUAGCGGCGGACGGGUGAGUAACACGUGGAUAACCUACCUAUAAGACUGGGAUAACUUCGGGAAACCGGAGCUAAUACCGGAUAACAUGUUGAACCGCAUGGUUCAACAGUGAAAGACGGUUUUGCUGUCACUUAUAGAUGGAUCCGCGCCGCAUUAGCUAGUUGGUAAGGUAACGGCUUACCAAGGCAACGAUGCGUAGCCGACCUGAGAGGGUGAUCGGCCACACGAGAGCUGGGACACGGUCCAGACUCCUACGGGAGGCAGCAGUAGGGAAUCGUCCGCAGUGGGCGAAAGCCUGACGGAGCAACGCCGCGUGAGUGAAGAAGGUCUUCGGAUCGUAAAACUCUGUUAUUAGGGAAGAACAAAUGUGUAAGUAACUAUGCACGUCUUGACGGUACCUAAUCAGAAAGCCACGGCUAACUACGUG